GAUGAACGCUGGCGGCGUGCCUAAUACAUGCAAGUCGAGCGAACAGACGAGGAGCUUGCUCCUCUGACGUUAGCGGCGGACGGGUGAGUAACACGUGGAUAACCUACCUAUAAGACUGGGAUAACUUCGGGAAACCGGAGCUAAUACCGGAUAAUAUAUUGAACCGCAUGGUUCAAUAGUGAAAGACGGUUUUGCUGUCACUUAUAGAUGGAUCCGCGCCGCAUUAGCUAGUUGGUAAGGUAACGGCUUACCAAGGCAACGAUGCGUAGCCGACCGGGGAGGUGAAUCGGCCACCCUGGAACUGAGACACGGCCCAGCCUCCUACGGGAGGCAGCAGUAGGGAAUCUGCCGCAAUGGGCGAAAGCCUGACGGAGCAACGCCGCGGGAGUGAUGAAGGUCUUCGGAUCGUAAAACUCUGUUAUUAGGGAAGAACAAAUGUGUAAGUAACUAUGCACGUCUUGACGGAACCUAAUCAGAAAGCCACGGCUACCUACGU
rnacentral:rRNA from 1 species